ACGGUAACGCGGGGCAACCUGGCGACGAGUGGCGAACGGGUGAGUAAUAUAUCGGAACGUGCCCAGUAGUGGGGGAUAGCCCGGCGAAAGCCGGAUUAAUACCGCAUGAGACCUGAGGGUGAAAGCGGGGGAUCGCAAGACCUCGCGCUAUUGGAGCGGCCGAUAUCAGAUUAGCUAGUUGGUGGGGUAAAGGCCUACCAAGGCAACGAUCUGUAGUUGGUCUGAGAGGACGACCAGCCACACUGGGACUGAGACACGGCCCAGACUCCUACGGGAGGCAGCAGUGGGGAAUUUUGGACAAUGGGCGCAAGCCCGAUCCAGCAAUGCCGCGUGCAGGAAGAAGGCCUUCGGGUUGUAAACUGCUUUUGUCAGGGAAGAAAUCUUCUGGGUUAAUACCUCGGGAGGAUGACGGUACCUGAAGAAUAAGCACCGGCUAACUACGUGCCAGCAGCCGCGGUAAUACGUAGGGUGCGAGCGUUAAUCGGAAUUACUGGGCGUAAAGCGUGCGCAGGCGGCUUUGCAAGACAGAUGUGAAAUCCCCGGGCUCAACCUGGGAACUGCAUUUGUGACUGCAAGGCUAGAGUACGGCAGGGGGGGAUGGAAUUCCGCGUGUAGCAGUGAAAUGCGUAGAUAUGCGGAGGAACACCAAUGGCGAAGGCAAUCCCCUGGGCCUGUACUGACGCUCAUGCAC
rnacentral:rRNA from 1 species